rnacentral:rRNA from 1 species
GAUAAACGCUGGCGGCGUGCCUAAUACAUGCAAGUCGAGCGAACGGACGAGAAGCUUGCUUCUCUGAUGUUAGCGGCGGACGGGUGAGUAACACGUGGAUAACCUACCUAUAAGACUGGGAUAACUUCGGGAAACCGGAGCUAAUACCGGAUAAUAUUUUGAACCGCAUGGUUCAAAAGUGAAAGACGGUCUUGCUGUCACUUAUAGAUGGAUCCGCGCUGCAUUAGCUAGUUGGUAAGGUAACGGCUUACCAAGGCAACGAUGCAUAGCCGACCUGAGAGGGUGAUCGGCCACACUGGAACUGAGACACGGUCCAGACUCCUACGGGAGGCAGCAGUAGGGAAUCUUCCGCAAUGGGCGAAAGCCUGACGGAGCAACGCCGCGUGAGUGAUGAAGGUCUUCGGAUCGUAAAACUCUGUUAUUAGGGAAGAACAUAUGUGUAAGUAACUGUGCACAUCUUGACGGUACCUAAUCAGAAAGCCACGGCUAACUACGUGCCAGCAGCCGCGGUAAUACGUAGGUGGCAAGCGUUAUCCGGAAUUAUUGGGCGUAAAGCGCGCGUAGCGGUUUUUUAAGUCUGAUGUGAAAGCCCACGGCUCAACCGUGGAGGGUCAUUGGAAACUGGAAAACUUGAGUGCAGAAGAGGAAAGUGGAAUUCCAUGUGUAGCGGUGAAAUGCGCAGAGAUAUGGAGGAACACCAGUGGCGAAGGCGACUUUCUGGUCUGUAACUGACGCUGAUGUGCGAAAGCGUGGGGAUCAAACAGGAUUAGAUACCCUGGUAGUCCACGCCGUAAACGAUGAGUGCUAAGUGUUAGGGGGUUUCCGCCCCUUAGUGCUGCAGCUAACGCAUUAAGCACUCCGCCUGGGGAGUACGACCGCAAGGUUGAAACUCAAAGGAAUUGACGGGGACCCGCACAAGCGGUGGAGCAUGUGGUUUAAUUCGAAGCAACGCGAAGAACCUUACCAAAUCUUGACAUCCUUUGACAACUCUAGAGAUAGAGCCUUCCCCUUCGGGGGACAAAGUGACAGGUGGUGCAUGGUUGUCGUCAGCUCGUGUCGUGAGAUGUUGGGUUAAGUCCCGCAACGAGCGCAACCCUUAAGCUUAGUUGCCAUCAUUAAGUUGGGCACUCUAAGUUGACUGCCGGUGACAAACCGGAGGAAGGUGGGGAUGACGUCAAAUCAUCAUGCCCCUUAUGAUUUGGGCUACACACGUGCUACAAUGGACAAUACAAAGGGCAGCGAAACCGCGAGGUCAAGCAAAUCCCAUAAAGUUGUUCUCAGUUCGGAUUGUAGUCUGCAACUCGACUACAUGAAGCUGGAAUCGCUAGUAAUCGUAGAUCAGCAUGCUACGGUGAAUACGUUCCCGGGUCU